rnacentral:lncRNA from 1 species
GCGGCGGCCCGAGGCAGGUUUGUGGUUCUGCACCCCUUGCGCCCCUAAAGAUCCAUCCGCUGUCCUAAUCCUCUCUAGUCCGUCUUGGAAUGCCCACCGUUUGGCUUGACCCUUGGGACCCUCAGAAUGGAGACGAGGGGGACACAUGAGUUCUGCGAGGAUCUGCGGUUUCCUAUCCCAGAGGUGACCGGCCCAGUCAGUCUAACCCGGCUUGUCCUCUGCGGAAGGACAGGAGGCCGAGGGCAAGUAGGGGUGUGUUUGUUCUACACUGAAGCACCUGACCUCUUCAAAGUUCCAUCUUCCAAGACUCAAAGCUGUUCUCAGGUCCCAGACGCCAAAAUCUCGGCACAGCUGGGAACCUUUCUUCCCGUCCCCUCUGCGCCCCCACCCCCC